UUCCUGAACAGAAAAUAGGCACAAGCUACUGAAACGUCUAAAUCACAUGGAGUCAGAGAGAAGGCAAAAGAGGAGUGCAAGCCGCCUGAAAGAGAGCAAUAAAAAGGAAAAUAAAAUUUAGUCCAGAAAACAGCCCACCAUCAAGUCCAGAAGAGAUUUAAAACAGUUGAAAACACAUAAAAUGACACGCUGUUGCUUAAAAAAAUAGAAGAAAAAACAAAGAAAAUGACACAAUACCUGUAAAUGACAUGAGAAAAGAAAUCAAAGCCUUGAGAGCAGAGAAUCAGCAACUAAAGGCCCUGAACUUUAAACUGCAAAAUGAGAUUAUUAACAGAAUUGCGGAGUUGCUGCCAGACAGCAGUGUAAACAAGCAUGCGGUGCCAA